GAUGAACGCUGGCGGCGUGCCUAAUACAUGCAAGUCGAGCGAACAGAUGAGGAGCUUGCUCCUCUGACGUUAGCGGCGGACGGGUGAGUAACACGUGGAUAACCUACCUAUAAGACUGGGAUAACUUCGGGAAACCGGAGCUAAUACCGGAUAAUAUAUUGAACCGCAUGGUUCAAUAGUGAAAGACGGUUUUGCUGUCACUUAUAGAUGGAUCCGCGCCGCAUUAGCUAGUUGGUAAGGUAACGGCUUACCAAGGCAACGAUGCGUAGCCGACCUGAGAGGGUGAUCGGCCACACUGGAACUGAGACACGGUCCAGACUCCUACGGGAGGCAGCAGUAGGGAAUCUUCCGCAAUGGGCGAAAGUCUGACGGAGCAACGCCGCGUGAGUGAUGAAGGUCUUCGGAUCGUAAAACUCUGUUAUGAGGGAAGAACAAAUGUGUAAGUAACUAUGCACGUCUUGACGGUACCUAAUCAGAAAGCCACGGCUAACUACGUG
rnacentral:rRNA from 1 species